GUGGGGAAUCUUGCGCAAUGGGCGAAAGCCUGACGCAGCCAUGCCGCGUGAAUGAUGAAGGUCUUAGGAUUGUAAAAUUCUUUCACCGGGGACGAUAAUGACGGUACCCGGAGAAGAAGCCCCGGCUAACUUCGUGCCAGCAGCCGCGGUAAUACGAAGGGGGCUAGCGUUGCUCGGAAUUACUGGGCGUAAAGGGCGCGUAGGCGGACAGUUUAGUCAGAGGUGAAAGCCAAGGGCUCAACCUUGGAAUUGCCUUUGAUACUGGCUGUCUUGAGUACGGGAGAGGUGAGUGGAACUCCGAGUGUAGAGGUGAAAUUCGUAGAUAUUCGGAAGAACACCAGUGGCGAAGGCGACUCACUGGCCCGUUACUGACGCUGAGGCGCGAAAGCGUGGGGAGCAAACAGGAUUAGAAACCCGGGUAGUCC
rnacentral:rRNA from 1 species